AUGUGCAGAGUGUCUGGGUUUUGAGUGAUUAGGCUGCUGCACAUCUCGGCCACAGCACAGAAUCAUUCCACAGCUUCUCGAUGAGAUUAAGCGCAGACUUGGCCGCCGGACAGGGGACGGAGGGCAGGUUACGCAAGGCGCCGGGCUGCUCCUCCCGGGCCUGGCAGCCGCUCCGCCCGCCGCCGGGAGAACAACGCAUUGAAACCACUGAGUGGAGAUUGGAGUUAGUCCAGACAUAAACCAUCUUAAUGAACACUAAUAGAGAACUGCAAUUAUUGUUGACUUCAAAAUGCAAACAGGAACUUUAGACAGCGAUCCCUAUCAGCCCAUGAGGCCAGUACUCAUGCCGUGCACUGUUUUUGCUGUUGCUUAGCAAUGGAAAAUGAACUGUUCCUGCCUCUUAUCACUGGAGGUAGAGGUAGGACAAUGAGCUUUAUUGGACUGAAUAGGUAUAAAAUUAGUUUAUUCUUUCUCACUUGGAACAGGCAGUCGGCAGCAAAGAGAAUCAUUUGGACCAGGGGCCUUUCAGAGGUUAGGGGGUGGUUUUCCUUUCUUGUUAACUCAAUAAAUCCUAACUCUUUGUGUUUUUCUCCCCAGAUAAAGCUUGAACUUUUGCCACAAGUGUCCUGACAGUAGAGAAAAUAUAUACAAAUGUAGACCAGCAUGGAAACUAGGGUGAGUCUCAGGAGUGAAAUUUAAGAAGUGCCAAAAAAAGUAAUAAUCAGGAUUAUAGCAAUCAAAUAAUAGCUUAAUAUAUUAAAUAUAGACAUUUUUAUUGUCCAUUAUCUAGUUUACUAUACUUGGAUAAACUACAUGUGUAGUUUUUAUAGGUAAAAAAUAACUAUAAAGAAAAAUGGGUGAAAAAAA